rnacentral:rRNA from 1 species
CCUACGGGUGGCUGCAGUCGAGAAUCUUCGGCAAUGGGGGAAACCCUGACCGAGCGACGCCGCGUGUGGGAUGAAGGCCCUUGGGUUGUAAACCACUGUCAGAGGGGAUGAAGUGCCAGAAAGCUAUCUUUCUGGUUUGACAUAGCCUCAGAGGAAGCACGGGCUAAGUUCGUGCCAGCAGCCGCGGUAAGACGAACUGUGCAAACGUUAUUCGGAAUCACUGGGCUUGAAGAGUGCGUAGGCGGUUUCGUAAGUAGGGUGUGAAAGCCCCCGGCCCAACCGGGGAACUGCGCCCUAAACUGCGAGGCUGGAGUGAGGUAGGGGUGUGUGGAACUUCCAGUGGAGCGGUGAAAUGUGUUGAUAUUGGAAGGAACGCCGGUGGCGAAAGCGACACACUGGACCUUGUCUGACGCUGAGGCACGAAAGCCAGGGGAGCAAACGGGAUUAGAUACCCCGGUAGUCCA